AUGAGCAGGAAGCGGUCGGGUCUGGGCCGUUGCAGGCAUUUCUUUUGGCUGGGCGUCGUCUUCGACACGGUGGGGGCGGUGAUGCUGUUCGUCGGCAUCUUCGCCGAGCUGAUCUUCUACGACAUGCUGCUCUACAUGGGCGCCAUCAUCAUCUUCCUCAGCCUGCUCUGGUGGGUCUCCUGGUACACCGGCAACAUCGAACUGCUUCCCGAAGAGACCCUCGGGCUGACCUCCCAGCUGGCCUCCAGAAACAUGGUGAGCGCCCUGCAGCAGAGCGUCAGCCACCGCUUCUCCUGGUCCAUGGGGACCCUCUCCAACAGCUUUCUGCGGAUCCGGCGACAGCGGCAGCGGCGGCGCUCCUGGAGGACCCUGCAGAGGACGGCUGCCCCGGGGAUGACCGGUACCGGCCAGCUGGAGCAAGAAGCCGAAGGUGACAGGGACAGCGACCACUGCCAGGCCUUUUGCCAAGGGGCUCUGAGCAGCACGCCUGAAGAUGAGGGAAGUUCAGAGUCCUUUGGACCCCCAAGCCCUGACUCAGGUCCGCCAUGGUUUGAUCGGCAACCCUUGCCUCAUCUGGUCCCGCCCGUUCUCCCUCUGUCCACUCUGGACCAGCCUUUGCCUUCUACUGUUUCAUUCCCUAAGAGUCUGCCUGUAGUUCCCUUGGUUUCUUCCACUCAGAAUCCAGCCUUCUCUACGUGUAGGAGCCACCCUGUAAUUUCUGAGGCCUCUCGGAGCCACGUCCUAGGCCCCAUGGCCUCACAGAGCCACCUCCAGGUCCCUGUGACCUCUGAAAGCCAACCUGUGUUGCUUGCAGCCUCUCGUAGUUUCCUCCACGUCCCUGGGGCCUCUCAGACCCACUGUCUGGCUCCUAUGGACUCUCAGAGCCAUCCUCUGGCACCUGUGUACUCUCAGAGCCACACCUUGUUACCUGUGGCCUCACGGAGCCACCUCCAGGUCCCUGUGACCUCUGAAAGCCAACCUGUGUUGCUGGCAGCCUCUCAGAGCUGCCACCAUGUCACUAGGGCCUCUCAGACCCACUGUCUGGCUCCUAUGGACUCUCAGAGCCAUCCUCUGGCACCUGUGAACUCUCAGAGCCACACCAUGUCACCUGCAGCCUCACGGAGCCACCUCCAGGUCCCUGUGACCUCUAAGAGCCAGCCUCUGCCUUCUGCGGCCUCUCAGUGCCAUCUCCAGGUCCCUGUGACCUCUAAGAGCCAGCCUCUGCCUUCUGCGGCCUCUCAGUGCCAUCUCCGGGUCCCUGUGUCCUCUCAGAGCCAACCUGUGGUGCCUAUGGCCUCACAGAGGCAGCACUGGAAUUUUCCUCUGGUCUCCGGACCUCAGCCUCCACCUGUUCAGGCUUCUGGAACCCAGGCUGCGGGCACCCAGGUUCCUGUGCUGCAACGUCUGUCUGACCAGGCUUUCCAGACUGUAGGCCCAGCGGAUUCAGAGACUGGGCGGGCCCUGCUUCCGCCUCCCCAGGCCACUGAGAGCAUCUGUGCAGUGCAGGAGAUUUCUCUACGUCAGGCUGCACCUGGCCUGGAGGCACCUACGGAGCCACUUGCGCAGGCUUCUGAGACCGCCCCACCUCCAGGACAGCGCCCCGACACCGCGUCACCUGCCUCUGAGGCUGCACCUCCAGCCACUCCGGUGCAACCAUUCGUCCCCACUGAGACCACUCCAGCCUCAGAGCCCAAGAAGAAAAGUCAUUCUGUCUAG
ensembl:lncRNA